AUUAAACGCUGGCGGCAUGCCUUACACAUGCAAGUCGAACGGCAGCACGGGGGCAACCCUGGUGGCGAGUGGCGAACGGGUGAGUAAAGCAUCGGAACGUGCCCUGGAGUGGGGGGAUAACGUAGCGAAAGUUACGCUAAUACCGCAUAUUCUGUGAGCAGGAAAGCAGGGGAUCGCAAGACCUUGCGCUCUGGGAGCGGCCGAUGUCGGAUUAGCUAGUUGGUGGGGUAAAGGCCUACCAAGGCGACGAUCCGUAGCGGGUCUGAGAGGAUGAUCCGCCACACUGGGACUGAGACACGGCCCAGACUCCUACGGGAGGCAGCAGUGGGGAAUUUUGGACAAUGGGCGAAAGCCUGAUCCAGCCAUGCCGCGUGAGUGAAGAAGGCCUUC
rnacentral:rRNA from 1 species